AUGCAGUGGAAGUGUAAGUUCUGUGUUUAUUUCUGUGAAAAGAGAGCUCUGCUAUUGAAGCAUUAUCGGAUUAAACAUGGAAGCUACACAAGAACCAACCAAAUUCCUUGUCUUCACACAGACUGUUUGUGUUCUUUUAAAUCAUUCAAUGCUCUAAAAGUGCAUUUAACAAGAAAUCACUCUGAAAAUGCAAAACAAACAAGUGGAUCAGAACCAGCACCUUUGAUAUUUCAUUGUCCUCUCUGUGAAUUUAAAGAACCCUGCACAGAAUCCUUGUUUUUCUGCCAUUUGCGUCAACAUCUGAAAAAUUAUGAAAUGGUUCAGUGCCCAUACAAAGACUGCAAUUUUGAAAGCAGAAUUUAUUCCACAUUUAAUGCUCAUAAAAGUAAGCAACACCAGUUUAGCAUGCAGAGGAACUUAAAGCCCAACAUUUUAGUGGAGUUGCAAAAUAUUGCUGCCGAUUUACAGCAAGAUGUUACACAAAGUACAGCUUCUUGCUAUGAUUCAAUUGAUUCUACAGAGUUUGGCCAGGAUGAAUAUGAAGAAGGUGACCCAAAUCAAAGUCUAGAUGAUUUACAGAGACAACUAAAGCAUAAUUUAGGAUUGCUUUUCCUUAAGAUGCAAACCAUUCUGCAUAUAUCUGAUGCAGCAGUACAAGAAGUAAUACAACAAAUUACUCAGAUUUUUCUUUUGACAAGGCCACUUUUGAGUAAUGGCAUUCAACAGAUUUUAAAUCAACAUGAAAUCACUUAUAGUGAUAAUGUUUUGAAAGAAAUUGUGAAAGUUGUCACAGAAAAUAAUCUGCUCUUAAAAAUGACUGAGUCUGGUGAGCCUCUAUCUACCAUCAGUAAAAGAGCAUCAUACUUUGAGAAAGAAUUUCCAAUAGUUAUGCCAAUAGAAUACAAACUCGACAAAGAAUCACAGUCUUUUGCAUAUGUGCCAAUCUUGAACAUGUUACAGCUGCUUUUAAACCGAUCAGAGGUCCUUGAUAAAGUUCUUGCUCCCGAUGGAAGUGCAUGUGGAAUUAGUUCCUACAGAGAUGGCACUAACUACUCUGAGAAUCCUUUUCUGAAGACAGAAAAAUGUAGGAUUUUACUUACCCUCUACACUGAUGAAUUUGAAAUUGCCAACCCUCUUGGCACUUCAAAAAAGAAACACAAGAUGUUCAGUGUUUACUGGGUCCUUGCCAAUCUUCCCUCUAAGUAUCUGUCUUCUCUUCAUGCAAUUCAGUUGGCAAUCUUAUGCAAAGCUAGUGCAGUGAAACGGUGUGGAUAUGAAAAAGUCCUACACCCUCUUGUUCAAGAUCUGAAAACAUUAGAGAAACAUGGCGUCUUUGUAGAGCGGUUAGGAGAAUGUUUAUUGGGAACUGUUCUCUGUGUGUCUGCUGAUAACCUUGGUGCCCACUCCUUGGCAGGAUUCCAAGAGAGUUUCAUUGUGGAACACCCCUGUCGCUUCUGUAUGGUGAAGAAGAGCGAAAUCCAACAAAGAGAGGUACGGACAGGAGCAUUUGAAUCCAGGACCAAGCUAAAUCACGAAAGGCAAGUUGAGGAAGUUUUAAAAGAUCAGAGUUUGGUUUAA
ensembl:lncRNA